GAACGCUGGCGGCGUGCCUCAUACAUGCAAGUCGAGCGGAUGCAGCAAUGCAUUAGCGGCGGACGGGUGAGUAACACGUGGGCAACCUGGCCUUAAGAGGGGGAUAACGUUCCGAAAGGGACGCUAAUACCGCGUAAAUCAGCGAAAUCGCAUGAUUUUGUUGGAAAAGGAGAAAUCCGCUUAAGGAUGGGCCCGCGGCCUAUUAGCUAGUUGGUAGGGUAACGGCCUACCAAGGCGACGAUAGGUAGCCGACCUGAGAGGGUGAACGGCCACACUGGAACUGAGAAACGGUCCAGACUCCUACGGGAGGCAGCAGUAGGGAAUAUUCCGCAAUGGGCGAAAGCCUGACGGAGCAACGCCGCGUGAGUGAAGAAGGUCUUCGGAUCGUAAAGCUCUGUCAACAGGGACGAAACAAGACGGUACCUGAGAAGGAAGCCACGGCAAACUACGUG
rnacentral:rRNA from 1 species